UUUUUUGAGGUGUAUGGACACGUCGGUCUUUCAAUCCGGAGUUGAAGAUUUUUUCUUCCAAAUCUU
rnacentral:tRNA from 1 species